rnacentral:rRNA from 1 species
ACUCAGAAUACCGUUGAGUGCGAGCUUGGGAGACAGACAUCGGGUGCUAACGUCCGGUGUCAAGAGGGAAACAACCCAGACCGCCGAUUAAGGUCCCGAAGACAUAGUUAAGUGGGAAACGAGGUGGGAAGGCUUAGACAGCCAGGAGGUUGGCUUAGAAGCAGCCAUCCUUUAAAGAAAGCGUAAUAGCUCACUGGUCGAGUCGUCCUGCGCGGAAGAUGUAACGGGGCUCAAAACUAUGCACCGAAAAUCGCGGAUAUCCGCAAGGAUAUGGUAGGAGAGCGUUCUGUAAGCCGAUGAAGGUGUCUUGAGAAGGAUGCUGGAGGUAUCAGAAGUGCGAAUGCUGACAUGAGUAGCGAUAAAGGGAGUGAAAAAGCUCCCUCGCCGAAAAGCCCAAGGUUUCCUGCGCAACGUUCAUCGGCGCAGGGUGAGUGGCCCUAACGGCGAGGCUGAAAAGACGU